rnacentral:snoRNA from 1 species
AAAGCAGGUCUGCAAUUGCAGCACUUGUUUGCAGUGGAGUGCUGUCAUUAACCCUGCUGAGAGCAUAUUUCUGCUGCAGAGCUCUUCUCCUGCUCGCUGCGCCGGUGAUGAGGAAGCUCUGUAGCUGUACACUA